rnacentral:rRNA from 1 species
UACAGAGGUCUCAAGCGUUGUUCGGAUUCACUGGGCGUAAAGGGCGCGUAGGCGGCCCUCCUUGUCGCGUGUGAAAGCCCCGGGCUCAACCUGGGAAUUGCGCGCGAAACGGGGGGGCUUGAGUUCGGGAGAGGAGCGUGGAAUUCCCAGUGUAGAGGUGAAAUUCGUAGAUAUUGGGAAGAACACCGGUGGCGAAGGCGGCGCUCUGGACCGAGACUGACGCUGAGGCGCGAAAGCGUGGGGAGCAAACAGG